GGCCAGACUCCUACGGGAGGCAGCAGUGGGGAAUAUUGGACAAUGGGGGGAACCCUGAUCCAGCGACGCCGCGUGGGUGAAGGAGAGUUUCGGCGCGUAAAGCCCUAUCGGCAGGGAAGAAGGAGGAAGGUACCUGACUAAGAAGCCCCGACUAACUACGUGCCAGCAGCCGCGGUAAUACGUAGGGGGCAAGCGUUAUCCGGAUUUACUGGGUGUAAAGGGGGCGCAGACGGCAGCGCAAGCCAGGAGUGAAAGCCCGGGGCCCAACCCCGGGACUGCUCUUGGAACUGCGCGGCUGGAGUGCAGGAGGGGCAGGCGGAAUUCCUGGUGUAGCGGUGAAAUGCGUAGAUAUCAGGAGGAACACCGGUGGCGAAGGCGGCCUGCUGGACUGCGACUGACGUUGAGGCCCGAAAGCGUGGGGAGCAACCAGGAUUAGAUACCCGGGUAGG
rnacentral:rRNA from 1 species